rnacentral:rRNA from 1 species
CGGAGGGUGCAAGCGUUGUCCGGAUUUAUUGGGUUUAAAGGGUGCGUAGGCGGCUAAUUAAGUCAGCGGUGAAAUUCCACAGCUCAACUGUGUGAACUGCCAUUGAUACUGGUUGGCUUGAGUACAGAUGAGGUAGGCGGAAUUGACAGUGUAGCGGUGAAAUGCUUAGAUAUUGUCAAGAACACCUAUUGCGAAGGCAGCUUACUAAACUGUAACUGACGCUGAGGCACGAAAGCGUGGGGAUCAAACAGGAUUAGAUACCCUGGUAGUCCACGCUGUAAACGAUGAUUACUCGAUGUGUGCGAUAGACAGUACGCGUCCAAGCGAAAGCGUUAAGUAAUCCACCUGGGGAGUACGCCCGCAAGAGUG